UCCUUCGUGGUGUAAUGGUCAGCACACUCGGCGCGUAUUCGAGAGGUCCGUGGUUCGAGUCCCGGCGAGGGCA
rnacentral:tRNA from 1 species